rnacentral:rRNA from 1 species
CCUACGGGUGGCAGCAGUGGGGGAUAUUGGACAAUGGGGGAAACCCUGAUCCAGCGACGCCGCGUGAGUGAAGAAGUAUUUCGGUACGUAAACUUCUAUCAGCCGGGAAGAAAAUGACGGUACCUGACCAAGAAGCCCCGGCUAACUACGUGACAGCAGCCGCGGUAAUACGUAGGGGGCACGCGUUAUCCGGAUUUACUGGGUGUAAAGGGAGCGUUGACGGCCAUGCAAGUCUGAUGUGAAAACCCGGGGCUCAACCCCGGGACUGCAUUGGAAACUGUGCGGCUGGAGUGUCGGAGAGGCAAGUGGAAUGCCUAGUGUAGCGGUGAAAUGCGUAGAUAUUAGGAGGAACACCAGUGGCGAAGGCGGCUUGCUGGACGACGACUGACGUUGAGGCUCGAAAGCGUGGGUAGCAAACAGGAUUAGAUACCCCUAUAGUC